UACGAAGGGGGCUAGCGUUGCUCGGAAUUACUGGGCGUAAAGGGCGCGUAGGCGGCACCAUCAGUCAGGCGUGAAAUUCCCGGGCUCAACCUGGGGACUGCGCUUGAUACAGUGGAGCUAGAGGACGGAAGAGGCUCGCGGAAUUCCCAGUGUAGAGGUGAAAUUCGUAGAUAUUGGGAAGAACACCGGUGGCGAAGGCGGCGAGCUGGUCCGUUACUGACGCUGAGGCGCGACAGCGUGGGGAGCAAACAGG
rnacentral:rRNA from 1 species